UGCAGCCUAGUCAAAUUCGGUGAUGCGUCUCCUGUUGCAAUCGCCGGUCCGAAUGGCUGCCACAGAAUGCCUGUAACUCAUGGGCCUCGCUUCUCGCUGAUACCGAGGAUAAAAUAACGUUACAGACACCG